GCCACUCUUUUCACAGGGCAAUAAUGUACGACCCCAUAAUUCGCGUCCAAUAAUUUGAGUCCCUUGGCUUUCAAUUAUUGGGCUGCGCAUUAUUGGUACAGGUCGAGAAAGCCCGACCCAAUAAUGUACGACCCAAUAAUAGGAAGCCAAAAACCAGAGAGAUUCUUUUUUUUAAGGGAGCUGUCAAAAUUAGUAGGGACGUUCUGACAUUAGCUCUUGACAAUUUAAAAAUAAUCGGUUUUUUCUAGUGCCAUCUUUCAGUGACAUUGACAGUAUUGUAUUGACACUUGUUGGUUUACAAAUACAAUAAAAUGAAUUCUAAUAAAAGAAACAGUAGACUCAGUAGAGGUACGAGGUACUGAAAAAAUAUUAAUUAAUGGAGAAGCCGAAGUUGGAGGAAAACAAGAAGAUUCGAGGAGAAUGGUGUGGCACUUAAUGCCGCCGGGACAGUAACCUAGCUGCAGCUCCAACUCUAGGGAAUUGGGCUGAAUGAACGCAACACGUGAUCGACAGCCCACCUGCUUCCUGCCGAGCGUCCCUACACUACAUCUACAUGGAUUCGCUUAUUCUGCUCUACAAAACUUCUAAAACAAUACAAAUAAUACAGGAAGAAGAGAUUAAACAACAGGCGGUCUUAUCGCUAAAAAGCGAUCUCUUCCAGACAACCUUACUACUUUUGAGGAGCUGAUACAAGCAGCCAGAAUGAGUCUCUGCUGAGUCGCCGGCGCCGGACGUGCGUCGCGCGCCUCGGGCGACUGACGUCUUCGUGUGAGUCGCCAAUUGCAGGGGAAGAUACGAAUAGUUAGGUAUAAAAGCUACUUUAGUCAACCUCGCCUCAGUACUGUUUGUAUUGACUGAAAUACAAGUAGCAUAUAUGAGACGUUCGGACGUAUCCGUGAAAAUACGAAGGUAAAGGAAAUUGCACUACAUUUUUAGAACCUAUUCACCUGUCAGUAAAAUAUUGAAAAGGAAAGUUCAUGAGUUUUAUUAUUUUCUUUCCUCCAACAGCUUCACAUGGAGCAAAUGUAAACCUUUUAUGUUAAUAAAUAUCAGUAAUGUCAAGGUACAACGCUCUUUAGAGCAUAUUGCCAUUCCUUUUACUCGAGUGGCCUGUGGGUUAACUAUACGAAGCGAGCCUACGAUGCAUUAAAAGUGCAGUAUAACAAUGCAUUCAGAAUGCUGUUGGGCUUACCUCGUAGAUGUAGUGCAUCUGGCAUGUUUUGCGAAGCUAGAAGUUUUCUGGCAAUCAUGCGCAAGAAAAUAGUAUCUCUGCUAGGUCGAGUUAGAAGCAGUCCCAAACAUACAUGUUCGAAAAGUAGAACUCCCUUAGUAGGCCAAGCAAUAAGAAGUUAUAGAGGGAAAUGCUAGGAACACAAUUUUUGACUACGUAACUUUGUUUGGACUAGUUAGGAGGUGAACAUAUCAAAAGUCCCCGGCUGUAGCCCCGGUGCUGGGGGGUAGACUAGUUAUAGUCCAAACAAAGUUACGGAGUCAAAAACUGUGUUCCUAGCAUUUCCCUCUACAACGUUUUUUGAGCAUUCAUUUCCUGACCUAUAGAUCGUGUUUCAAUUUAUCGCCUCUCGUUGGCAAUUAAGGUGGUUCGCUUUCCAUACA